rnacentral:rRNA from 1 species
AGGACGAACGCUGGCGGCGUGCUUAAUACAUGCAAGUCGAACGAGGUUCAGUCGGUGGUAACACUGACGAAGAUCUAGUGGCGAACGGGUGCGUAACACGUGAGCAACCUGCCCCGAAGACCGGGAUAACAGUGGGAAACCGCUGCUAAUACCGGAUGUCCCCACGAAUUCGCAUGGGUUUGUGAGGAAAUGGAUUCCGCUUCGGGAGGGGCUCGCGGCCUAUCAGCUUGUUGGUGAGGUAACGGCUCACCAAGGCGUCGACGGGUAGCUGGUCUGAGAGGACGAUCAGCCACACUGGGACUGAGACACGGCCCAGACUCCUACGGGAGGCAGCAGUAGGGAAUCUUGCGCAAUGGGCGAAAGCCUGACGCAGCAACGCCGCGUGGGGAUGAAGGCCUUCGGGUUGUAACUCCUUUAGUGGGAACGAAUUGACGGUACCACAGAAAAGCCCGGACUAACUACGUGCCAGCAGCCGC